UAGCACUGUCAGCCCGGCAGCAGCUGCAAAAAGCCAAAAAGAAAAGUCAGGAGAUGGCUUUUUAAGGUUGUGGGAAGGAAUCUGUAUUUGAUCAAAAAGCCAAAAAAAAAAGAGUCUAAUUUGGUCAACCUAAUCUGUAUUUGAGUAUUGUGGGAAGGAAUUUUUAAGGUUGGAAUACAAUUCUCUCAAUGGAGGGAGAGAUUCUUGAUCAGUAAACGAGGUGUCUGGUCGGAUUGAGGAACAAAUUGCAGAAAAGAAAUCUUGCUUGGGAGUGGCGGCAGUUCUAGUAAACUCGGAAGUAGGAAUAGGGGCCUCAGACAGGCGAAGACAAGGAUUUAAGCACCAACUUGAAAAGGCUUUUGAGGCCUCUCUGACGCAAGCAGAAAAAAGUUUCAUAUGUGCAAGUUUCUGGAAUGGUUAUUGAAUGCGUUACCGUAGGGGCAAAUUUUCCAGCAUAUGCUGAUUGACCAUGUCUACCAUGGAUUGCAAAAUGCCUUCCCUCUCACUUCUCAGUGUCGUAUACAGUGCUUUCUUUCCUUUACUCUUUGUAUUCUGAGAUAAAUCGGUCAAUAUCACCUUUCUUUGCUUUUGUCAACCAUCAUGUGAGGGGUAUAAUGUACAUUUUCUUUCAUUUCCAUUGAAGGCGGAUUAGAAAGUUCUCAGGCUAACAGGCACCUCCCCGGAGGAAAAUCUUAUGAAGCCAAAUAUUUGUCAGGAUAUAAAUUUCUUGUGCAAGUACUACUUACACAUGUAGUUAUGCAAAAAUUGUAUCAUGGGACUUGAAAUCUCCACCUGAUUGAAUGCUUAAAACUUCCUAAGCCACCCAUGUUUCUUUGGGAUUUGAGACAGGUACCGUUGAGAUUUUUGUGCAAUUAUUGUAUAUUUUUUUUACAUGAUUUGAUAGUAAAUUUUAUUCAAAUACACAAACUCAAUAUAUCAGUACAACCACAUCUCUAAGCAAAUAUUGAAAAAAAACAACAAAAGCAUCAAUUGCAUCAAAAGCCAUCUGUGUAGGUAACAAUUAGCAUAGCUAAGCUCAUCUUUUAAUUGUGAACCCGAGUGAUGCAGAGAGCUGAAAGUCUUCGUCAACAUGCACUGAGAUGUUUUACACCUCGAGGCAUUGGUUCAUAUAAUUUCGACAGAAAAAGUUAAGUUAGGACAAUCAUAUUGUAUAGCCCAGCACAUGUUCUUAUCAGAUCAGUCUCUGAUUUUGUUUCAUUUGGAGUAAUCCAAAGACUAGUUCUUAGCCACUUACGCAUGGAAUGGUUGCAAGUGUUUCUCGUAAGAUAGGAAAGCAACUUUGAUAUGGAGCAUCUUUGUUGAGCUGCUAGAGCGGAGAAAAGGACCAGUGGAAAGCCUACAAACAUUUUUUGUAGUGGCCGGCACUAUACAUCCAUGCACAUCAGAAGCUGCUGCCGGGCUGUGUCAAAUUUUGACUGGCUGCCAGUACUGUUUUUUUUAAAAAAAAAAAAAAAAUUUCCUUUUGUUGUCGAACUGACGAUAGUUUAAUAACGCACUUUGUCAGAGUUGUAAAUAUUCGAUUUUUUUUUUUUUUUGUAAUAUUCUGAGUAAUUAGUCAA